rnacentral:rRNA from 1 species
GGGCCCGCACAAGCGGUGGAGUAUGUGGUUUAAUUCGACGCAACGCGCAGAACCUUACCCAGGCUUGACAUCCUCGGAACCUGAUGGAAACAUCGGGGUGUCCCCUCACGGGGAAGCCGAGUGACAGGUGCUGCAUGGCUGUCGUCAGCUCGUGUCGUGAGAUGUUCGUUAAGUCCGGCAACGAGCGCAACCCCUGUCGUUAGUUGCCAUCAAUUCGGUUGGGCACUCUAGCGAGACUCCCGGUGAUAAGCCGGAGGAAGGCGGGAUGACGUCAAGUCCUCAUGGCCCUUAUGGGCUGGGCUACACACGUGCUACAAUGGCAGUGACAGAGGGACGCUACCAGGUGACUGGAUGCAA